rnacentral:lncRNA from 1 species
GGCUCCGCGAAGGACUGUCGGAAAGGGUGGGGGGUAGAGGACUGUUGGGGAUGACAGCUCCCCAGCUCAGGCGCCGCCUUCUCGCCCCGGCUCUGCCUGGCUGGAAGCAGGACCCAGGAGGAUCGCUCACUGACCACCUUGCUCGCGCUUGGAAUGCCACCCUGCCGGCCCUUGGAGAAGGAAAUCUCUCCCUGGACGCUGGCGCUUUCCCAGGAACCAGUCCUAGGAGCCAUUCCCUGCGCGCUUUCCCUGGAGCUCGGAGCUCCGAGUGCU